CAAACCUCAAGCAAAUUUCUUGGCUUGGUGUUGGGACAUCUGUAAGACCCUUGUCUUACAGGCCCUUAAAGCUGACGGCGGACCUGUUAGGCCUCUGAGCGCAGUAAAUUUCUCGCUUGUGGGGCUCUAUAUAGGCUUCCAGUCCUUAUAAAUUAUUCUUUUACAA
rnacentral:misc_RNA from 1 species